GUAGGACACAUGCUCACUCUUGGGCCCUUUCUACACCUAAGGGUUAUCCCAGGAAAAUAGAGGGAUCGUCCCUGCCUGCUCCCGGGAUCCCCUGUGGCCCUUUCUACACCUAAGGAUUAUCCCAGGAAAAUAGAGGGAUCGUCCCUGCCUGCUCCCGGGAUCCCCUGUAUAU